AUGCUUUUAGGUGGUGGCAUUGUUCUGACUUUCUUUUCAUUUGUUUAUGGCCAGUCUCUGACCUCCUCUGGUCCAGUGGUGAAGAGACCUGGAGAGUCAGUCACUCUGUCCUGCUCUGUGUCUGGACUCUCCAUGAGCAGCUACUGGAUGCACUGGAUCCGUCAGAAACCAGGAAAGGGACUGGAGUGGAUUGGGUAUAUUAAUUAUGGCACUGGCACAACAUUUGCCCAGUCUCUCCAGGGCCAAUUCUCCAUCACCAAAGACAGCAACACACUGCACUUACAAGUGAAAAGCCUGAAAGCUGAGGACACAGCUGUUUAUUACUGCGCUCGUGACUGGGCUUUCGACUACUGGGGAAAAGGCACAAUGGUGACAGUUUCAAACGCUCCUCAAGUUGAGCCGACCCUGUUUCCUUUGGCACAAUGUGAGCCAGGUUCUGAUGGGUUCGUAACAUAUGCUUGCAUUGCCACUGGAUUUUUCCCGGAGUCCGCAACCUUCCGGUGGGACAAAAAUGGUGAAAACGUGUUGGAUGUUGUCCAGUAUCCUCCAGUUAAAAAGGAAAAUGAAAACAAAUACUCCAGAAUCAGUCAGAUUAACGUUAACAGUACUGGCAUGGGCUCACAGCAAGACAUCAGCUGUACUGUGGAACACCUUGGAAAGACUACGACUAAAUCACUUCCAGUUCCAGUCAAGGUAAAGAGAGAAAAUAGGUCGCAUAGUUGA